GACGAACGCUGGCGGCGUGCUUAACACAUGCAAGUCGAACGGAAAGGCCCUGCUUUUGUGGGGUGCUCGAGUGGCGAACGGGUGAGUAACACGUGAGUAACCUGCCCUUGACUUUGGGAUAACUUCAGGAAACUGGGGCUAAUACCGUAUAGGAGCUCCUGCUGCAUGGUGGGGGUUGGAAAGUUUCGGCGGUUGGGGAUGGACUGCUGGGUUAUCAGCUUGUUGGUGGGGUAGUGGCUUACCAAGGCUUUGACGGGUAGCCGGCCUGAGAGGGUGACCGGCCACAUUGGGACUGAGAUACGGCCCAGACUCCUACGGGAGGCAGCAGUGGGGAAUAUUGCACAAUGGGCGGAAGCCUGAUGCAGCAACGCCGCGUGCGGGAUGACGGCCUUCGGGUUGUAAACCGCUUUCGCCUGUGACGAAGCGUGAGUGACGGUAAUGGGUAAAGAAGCACCGGCUAACUACGUG
rnacentral:rRNA from 1 species